GGCCUAUAAGACCAAAUGUCUGGUUGUCACUCCAAAAUAAGGCAAUGACAACACGUUCAACGCGGAUUAUUUGUUUUGUCAUUGAAAUUGACUCAUUCCAUCUUCUGGAUUGCUCAGGAAACCUGAUUGGCAUUACCUGUGUAAUGACCGAGAAAAUGUGGCCCACAUGAACAUCAUUCGACUACUAAGAUUGAAUUGAUGACCUUUAGUACUUUAGCCUAAAUUUCAUGGUUCUUCAUGGUUUGUUUUAUUGGAAAUAAUAUUCCCGCAACUGUACUGGCAAGGCUCAACUGUGUGCAAAUCAUGAAAUGAAUAUGGAUUUAUCAUGUGUUUGAAAUUUAGAUGAAUUUAGAUGGGGAGGAAUAUUUUCAAAAAAACCGACUGUCCUUCAGACGGUUUGAAAUGGAAGAUUUAUUCAUUCACCGAAGAAACGAGUCAAAUGACUCAAAUGUCAAUUGGUACAAAACCCAUCCCCUAGCAACGUCAAAAUCCAGAAGGAAAGGCCAGUUU